ACAAACAAAUUUUGAAUUAGUUGCUUAUCUUAGUCUUUAGUGUAUAAUCAUCAUAUUUCACCAUAUGACCAUUCUGGUAUCAAUGCUCAUUCAAUAGAAAUAUAGGGGUUAUCUUUUGUUCACCCUUUGGUUCUAGUUGAUUUUGAAUUAACAUUUUAUUUUUCAAUUCUUUCUUCAACAGGCUGUUCAAUUCCUUUUGGCCUGUCGUGAGCGUCUGAGUUCAGAAGACUUCAGCAAAAAAUCUGAGAGUAGCCCAACAGAUUCACAGAAGCUGGAUCCAAUUCAAGUAAAUUUUCACUAUCACAGAAGCUGGAUCCAAUGCAUCCUGAAGGUAACUUCAUCCAUUUUUCUGCAUUUUUUCUGCAUUACUGCAUUUUUGCAUUACUGGGGCGCUCGAGGCAGCAGCCUUUAGCUCACAUUGUGUUGCAUUUUCUUCGAUUUUAGAUCAUGUAGUAUGAUACUACCCGAAUGUAUGUUAAUAUAUAUAUAUAU
rnacentral:lncRNA from 1 species